rnacentral:rRNA from 1 species
UACAGAGGUCUCAAGCGUUGUUCGGAUUCAUUGGGCGUAAAGGGUGCGUAGGUGGCGAGGCAAGUCGGAUGUGAAAUCCCGGGGCUUAACCCCGGAACUGCAUUCGAUACUGCCUUGCUCGAGUACUGGAGAGGAGACUGGAAUUUACGGUGUAGCAGUGAAAUGCGUAGAUAUCGUAAGGAAGACCAGUGGCGAAGGCGGCUCUCUGGGCCAUUACUGACGCUGAGGAGCGAAAGCGUGGGGAGCGAACAGG